UGAAAAGUGAAAGUGAAGUCGCUCAGUCGUGUCCGACCCUUAGCGACCCCAUGGACUGCAGCCUACCAUGCUCCUCCAUCCAUGGGACUUUCCAGGCAAGAGUACUGGAGUGGGGUGCCAUUGCCUUCUCCAACUCAGGCACUGAACCCACUAGAUACCCACUGAGUGCCCCCUCUCUGAAGGUUUGAGAGACGGGCACCUGGAAGUCUGCUUAGAAAAACAGAUAGAGGCAGAGGCAGGACGGCUGUAGCCUCCACACCCGGAACCACUUGGGGCACGCAGAGCAGUCGGUUAAACUUUAACCCACCUUGCGGCCAGCAUCGCCUGGUCCUCGGACAGCAUUCCAGCUGGUUGGGGUGUAUCUUUUUGUAUGUGAGGGAAGGGAAGAACCAGUGCGGAAAUGCAAAUGCACUGUCGUUUAGUGACCCAUAUUGCGAAAACCAGCAAAAGGAAGUUGUGUUUUGCUGCUGCCUGAAGUCAGUCCUGGAGAGAAGUACGUGCGCCACAGAAGACAGAACCUCGUGAACUGCUCCACUUCAAAACUGCUGGGCAAGAAAAAGAUUUUCAGCAAAUCCUGCCCCCCCCCUCAGUCUCGUGCAAGGCCUCGGCUGGCCAACCCAAAGGACCCAGAAAGCAGCUGGCAGGGAGCCUGGCACCCGCCCUUCACCUCAGUGCCCUGUGGAGUCUGCCAGCCUCAGGUAACCCACCUGUUGCCCAGGAAUAAGUGGCUGCUGUUCCUGGUCCCUGACUCCUCUGCAGCUCCACUCUUCAAGUAGAAGAUUUGGGGGGAUCUCAGUCUCCUGCAGUCUAGUCUCACCUUUGACCCUCUCUGUGCAGGUCUGACACUUGACUGACUGACACUCGAAGGGGCGUUUCCUCCACAAGGUUUUCCAGAAGAGGCACCAUGUGAGAGCAUGAAACAGCCCCAGUGCAUAAACGCAGCAGCAGGAGGAAUUUGGGACCAAGAUCCAGGCUCCUCAGCCCCUGGGUCUCUGGAAAGUGUCAGGUCACCUGUCAGACAGAAUAUCUACAGU
rnacentral:lncRNA from 1 species